rnacentral:rRNA from 1 species
GAUGAACGCUGGCGGCGUGCCUAAUACAUGCAAGUCGAGCGAACGGACGAGAAGCUUGCUUUUCUGAUGUUAGCGGCGGACGGGUGAGUAACACGUGGAUAACCUACCUAUAAUACUGGGAUAACUUCGGGAAACCGGAGCUAAUACCGGAUAAUAUUUUGAACCGCAUGGUUCAAAAGUGAAAGACGGUCUUGCUGUCACUUAUAGAUGGAUCCGCGCUGCAUUAGCUAGUUGGUAAGGUAACGGCUUACCAAGGCAACGAUGCAUAGCCGACCUGAGAGGGGGAUAGGCCACACGGGAACUGAGACACGGUCCAGACUCCGACGGGAGGCAGCAGUAGGGAAUCUUCCGCAAUGGGCGAAAGCCUGACGGAGCAACGCCGCGUGAGUGAUGAAGGUCUUCGGAUCGUAAAACUCUGUUAUUAGGGAAGAACAUAUGUGUAAGUAACUGUGCACAUCGUGACGGUACCUAAUCAGAAAGCCACGGCUAACUACGUG